CGCGUAGGCGGCUUUGUAAGUUAGAGGUGAAAGCCCGGAGCUUAACUCCGGAACUGCCUUUAAGACUGCAUCGCUAGAAUCGUGGAGAGGUGAGUGGAAUUCCGAGUGUAGAGGUGAAAUUCGUAGAUAUUCGGAAGAACACCAGUGGCGAAGGCGACUCACUGGACACGUAUUGACGCUGAGGUGCGAAAGCGUGGGAGCAAACA
rnacentral:rRNA from 1 species